CACGGGACAAAUUGGCAUUUAAUCCUUUUUUUUUUUUUUUCUUGUAAACGGCAUUUAAUCCUUCUUCUUCUUAGACAAUUAGGUCAAUUAAGUCUCAAAUUGGGCUAAAUUAACCAAAAAUAACUAGCAAUAACNNNNNGGCGCGGUCUCCAAAGAUCUAUAAUAUCGAUCACAAUCAAGUGCUACAAUGCAACUUCUGC
rnacentral:misc_RNA from 1 species